AGAGUUUGAUCCUGGCUCAGGAUGAACGCUAGCGGCAGGCCUAACACAUGCAAGUCGAGGGGCAUCGGGAUUGAAGCUUGCUUCAAUUGCCGGCGACCGGCGCACGGGUGCGUAACGCGUAUGCAACCUACCUUUAACAGGGGGAUAACACUGAGAAAUUGGUACUAAUACCCCAUAAUAUCAUAGAAGGCAUCUUUUAUGGUUGAAAACUCCGGUGGUUAUAGAUGGACAUGCGUUGUAUUAGCUAGUUGGUGAGGUAACGGCUCACCAAGGCAACGAUACAUAGGGGGACUGAGAGGUUAACCCCCCACACUGGUACUGAGACACGGACCAGACUCCUACGGGAGGCAGCAGUGAGGAAUAUUGGUCAAUGGACGCAAGUCUGAACCAGCCAUGCCGCGUGCAGGAUGACGGCUCUAUGAGUUGUAAACUGCUUUUGUACGAGGGUAAACUCACCUACGUGUAGGUGACUGAAAGUAUCGUACGAAUAAGGAUCGGCUAACUCCGUGCCAGCAGCCGCGGUAAUACGGAGGAUCCAAGCGUUAUCCGGAUUUAUUGGGUUUAAAGGGUGCGUAGGCGGUUUGAUAAGUUAGAGGUGAAAUUUCGGGGCUCAACCCUGAACGUGCCUCUAAUACUGUUGAGCUAGAGAGUAGUUGCGGUAGGCGGAAUGUAUGGUGUAGCGGUGAAAUGCUUAGAGAUCAUACAGAACACCGAUUGCGAAGGCAGCUUACCAAACUAUAUCUGACGUUGAGGCACGAAAGCGUGGGGAGCAAACAGGAUUAGAUACCCUGGUAGUCCACGCAGUAAACGAUGAUAACUCGUUGUCGGCGAUACACAGUCGGUGACUAAGCGAAAGCGAUAAGUUAUCCACCUGGGGAGUACGUUCGCAAGAAUGAAACUCAAAGGAAUUGACGGGGGCCCGCACAAGCGGAGGAACAUGUG
rnacentral:rRNA from 1 species